rnacentral:rRNA from 1 species
UACGGAGGGUGCGAGCGUUACCCGGAAUCACUGGGCGUAAAGGGCGUGUAGGCGGGAAAGUAAGUCUGACUUUAAAGACUGCGGCUCAACCACAGCACGGGGUUGGAUACUGCAUUUCUAGACCUCUGGAGAGGCAACUGGAAUUCUUGGUGUAGCGGUGGAAUGCGUAGAUACCAAGAGGAACACCGAUGGCGAAGGCAGGUUGCUGGACAGAAGGUGACGCUGAGGCGCGAAAGUGUGGGGAGCGAACCGG